rnacentral:lncRNA from 1 species
AGGUUUAUGGUUAUCAAGCUAGGUGAAAUCAGAGAAAAGGAAACUCUUUAGAUUGUAAAAUGAUAAGGGAAGGAGGGAGCACUGAGAACAGGAAAAGUGAAAAACUGAAAAGGUGAUGCAGAAAAAACAUGAAGCUUCUGCGUCAGUUCAUACCCUCUCACUUGGAGGAGAGCAACAUCUAGCACAGACAUAACUAACAAAUGCCCAAGCUUGGUAAGGAAUGUGUUAGUGUCUGAAAAACAUGUUAACUAAUAAGGGGAAAGUGGAGCUCAGCUUGUAAAGAAAUGUAAACUAUUAAAUAAUUUCUUCUAAAAGAAAUAAAUCCAAAAAUCGCAAGUUUAACCCUCUUACUCAU